UACAGAGGUCUCAAGCGUUGUUCGGAUUCAUUGGGCGUAAAGGGUGCGUAGGUGGCGCCGUAAGUCGGGUGUGAAAUUUCGGAGCUUAACUCCGAAACUGCAUUUGAUACUGCCUUGCUUGAGGACUGGAGAGGAGACUGGAAUUCACGGUGUAGCAGUGGAAUGCGCAGAUAUCAGGAGGAACACCGGUGGCGAAGGCGGGUCUCUGGGCAGUAACUGACGCUGAGGCACGAAGGCCAGGGGAGCAAACGGG
rnacentral:rRNA from 1 species